rnacentral:misc_RNA from 1 species
GAUGAAGAACGUAGCGAAAUGCGAUACGUAGUGUGAAUUGCAGAAUUCAGUGAAUCAUCGAAUCUUUGAACGCACAUUGCACCUCUCGGUAUUCCGGGAGGUAUGCCUGUUCGAGCGUCAUUUGUACCCUCAAGCUCUGCUUGGUGUUGGGUGUUUGUUCCGCCUCUGUGUGUGAACUCGCCUCAAAACAAUUGGCAGCCGGCGUACUUGUUUCGGAGCGCAGCACAUUUUGCGAUCCAGAUCAACGUACAGCGGCAUCCAAGAAGCCUUAUUUAACGCUCUUGACCUCGGAUCAGGUAGGGAUACCCGCUGAACUUAAGAAUAUCAAUAAGCGGAGGA